GAAAAGAAACCAACAGGGAUUGCCUCAGUAACGGCGAGUGAAGCGGCAAUAGCUCAAAUUUGAAAUCUGGCCCUUUCAGGGUCCGAGUUGUAAUUUGCAGAGGGCGCUUUGGAGUCGGCAGCAGCCUAAGUUCCUUGGAACAGGUCAUCAUAGAGGGUGAGAAUCCCGUAUGUGGCUGCUUGCCUUCGCCGUGUAAAGCCCCUUCGAUGAGUCGAGUUGUUUGGGAAUGCAGCUCUAAAUGGGAGGUAAAUUUCUUCUAAAGCUAAAUAUUGGCCAGAGACCGAUAGCGCACAAGUAGAGUGAUCGAAAGAUGAAAAGCACUUUGGAAAGAGAGUCAAAAAGCACGUGAAAUUGUUGAAAGGGAAGCGCUUGCAGCCAGACGUGCCCGUAGUUGCUCAUCUGGGGUUCUCCCCAGUGCACUCUUCUAUGGGCAGGCCAGCAUCAGUCCGGGCGGUUGGAGAAAGACCUGUGUCACGUAGCUCUCUUCGGGGAGUGUUAUAGGGCAGGUGGAAUGCAACCAGCCUGGACUGAGGUCCGCGCAUCUGCUAGGAUGCUGGCGUAAUGGCUGUAAGCGGCCCGUCUUGAAACACGGACCAAGGAGUCUAACAUCUAUGCGAGUGUUUGGGUGUCAAGCCCGAGCGCGUAAUGAAAGUGAACGGAGGUGGGAACCCCUCGGGGUGCACCAUCGACCGAUCCUGAUGUCUUCGGAUGGAUUUGAGUAAGAGCAUAGCUGUUGGGACCCGAAAGAUGGUGAACUAUGCCUGAAUAGGGUGAAGCCAGAGGAAACUCUGGUGGAGGCUCGCAGCGGUUCUGACGUGCAAAUCGAUCGUCAAAUUUGGGCAUAGGGGCGAAAGACUAAUCGAACUAUCUAGUAGCUGGUUCCUGCCGA
rnacentral:rRNA from 1 species